rnacentral:lncRNA from 1 species
AUUUUUUAUCAAAUCAUUUAAAAUUCAUUAGUUUUCAUUUGAAUUGAUGAAAAAUAUUCAUAUAGCCAAAAAAUCCAAACAGUGAAAAAAAAGAUUUUUUUGAAUUUGAAUGAAAUCACUGAGGAUGCCAUAAUAUUCAUCAGUUUGACCUUUGCUAAGCAAAAGAUUUUUUUUUAAAUGAGACAAACCUCUUUUUCUACUACAAACAAAAUAAUUCAAAAUGUUCAUAAGUUUGCAGUUAGGUACCAAAAUUUAUAUAAAACCAGA